AUUCCAGCUCCAAUAGCGUAUAUUAAAGUUGUUGCGGUUAAAAAGCUCGUAGUUGGAUUUCUGCCGAGGACGACCGGUCCGCCCUCUGGGUGAGUAUCUGGCUCGGCCUGGGCAUCUUCUUGGAGAACGUAUCUGCACUUGACUGUGUGGUGCGGUAUCCAGGACUUUUACUUUGAGGAAAUUAGAGUGUUUCAAGCAGGCUUACGCCUUGAAUACAUUAGCAUGGAAUAAUAAGAUAGGACCUCGGAUCUAUUUUGUUGGUUUCUAGAGCUGAGGUAAUGAUUAAUAGGGAUAGUUGGGGGUGUCUGUAUUGUGUUGUCAGAGGUGAAAUUCUUAGAUUUACACAAGACAAACUACUGCGAAAGCAUUCACCAAGGAUGUUUUCAUUG
rnacentral:rRNA from 1 species